CUUUCCAUUAAAUCAUCUCACGGACCCUAGAAAAUGUUAUAUAUUGGUAUUGAUCUUGUGGCGAUUAAUUGAGGAUCUUGACAUUCGAAAGAAAAAGAUUCAUAUAUACAGACAUAAUGUUAUUACAGUAUACAGUUAUUCAAGUUCCUUAGGGAACAUCCGAUUAAAAGAAUAUGCUAUUUUAAAUAUUUGUUAAUGCGAAUUAUCUAUCAUAAAUAAAAGCUGAUCUGAAAAACUAAGGUAAUGGAUAUUAGGGAUAAAUGUCAGAAAUCGGAUAUUGGAAAGGAUCUUAAGCAAUAUAUAAGAUAGAUGAGUCACUCUACUUAUCACCAAUUGGUUUUAGGUUGGAAGUCCAUCUAGCUUAAAAUGGUAUCAAAGUCCGAUCCACGCAGUCUAAUCCGAUCCAUUAUCGAUUCACCCCAAAGUCGGCUCAUCGAUCUUUUCCCGAACAUUCUGAAAUUAACGCUCAAAGAACCAUCAUUUCGAAGGGGUAUAUUAGGGAUAAAUAUCUCACAUCGGAUAUUGAAAAAGAUCAUAAACAAUAUAUAAAAUAGAUGGAUCACUCCACUUAUCAUCAAUUGAUUUUAGGUUAGAAGUCCAUCUAGUUUAAUAUUAGAUUUUGGAGUCAAUAAAAGUGCAGUACGUGGCCUUAUAUAAUGGUCGGUGCAGAAAGUAAUAAUAAUCAUAGUGGAACACGUCAUUCGCUAAAGCGACUCCAAAAGUAGCAAUGCACUCUCGUGGCAAUUCCACAUAAGUAAACCCUAGCUAGCAACUAUGUACAGUAUAUGUGAGGAUAUUCUUGAACUUUUGUGUGUGUGCGCGCGCGCGCGAAGAACGGUGUAUAAAUAUAUUUUGCUUAUAAGAUUAUACAGUAUAUGUUAGACGUUGGACUUGCGAGACUUUUCUUUCAGGCGAAAAGUUUGCCUGAUCAUCCCAACGUGUAGGGUGGGUCGACCCUUGGUCAGAAUUCCCUCGGAGCUUUAAUAAACAAAAUAAAUAUAAAAGUGUCGAAUAAGGGGGAAAGAAAAUGACGAAAAUGAAAAGUACUCAUAUAUUAAUCUUAUAACUAUAAGAAUAGUCAGUAUAUAAACUACAUAUAUUAUAUGGUCAGAAUGUAUAAGAGUUUAAAAGUACUAUAAAGUCGGAGUUAUUAAUUUUUAUUUUUUAUUUUAACAUGGGAAUUCUGAGUUUUUAAACGUAAGAUCUGCUUAUAAUUGGAUCCAACCAUUGAUAAUACAUGUGCAAGAUAUAAAUAUCUUUUCGUAGAAAAUUCGAAUAUGGGAUCAAUGGUUCUGCAGCCUCUCCUCUUUUCUUUAUUUUUUGUUUUUGUAUUUUUUUGCUAAAAUUCUUUACUUUUUUUGUUCAUACCUCUUUCCGAAAGACUCUUUGAUAAUUAACAUGAAAGCUACUUAUUAAUUACGCUAGGUCGUGGUCUUGAUAGAUUAUAAAUAUUAUAUACGAUAUGUAAUAUGCAUCUUGUUUUAUAAAUUAUAAUAUAUGUGAAAACGGCUUGUGUUUGGACUUAAGUGCAUGCAAUUUGUAUUAAAUUUUGAUUUCUGUGGUUGAAAAUAUGGAAGUCAACAAACAGAACCAAAGUUCUACCAAACACGCUGCAAUGUAUUAUAUUAUAUGAGACAGAAUGAUGAAAAGAAAAGAGUAACCACACCUAACCAUGAUCAUCCGAAAACAAGUAAAAAAGAGAAGCUGUCAAUUGUCAUCAGAGUAUAUAUCUAAGAAUAAAUAGACUUUUACCAAAAAAAAAAAAAUCCUAUAGACAAUCGAGCUAACUACCAUCCGUAUAAUAUACUUAAGUUCGACAAAUAUAAUCUACGUGUUUUGAUGUCCACGGUUCCACUUCCAAUUGCGCUUAAUUCAAUCGGUUAUACAAAACAUGUUAUUUUGGUAUUUUUAGAUUUGAGAGGUUAAGUUAAAGCAUUACGUUGUCGAAAGUGUAUUGGUUCUUUUUUAUUGUUGAAAUGUGUGUAUAUUGAUUCUUCUUGAUAACAUAAGUAUAUUUAGAAAAUUCAUAUCAUCUAUCUUGUAAGUUUGUGAAAGAUCAUUUUCAUGUUUUUUUUUAUCAAAGGACUUUGACAAAUCAUAACUAGAAUAUCAGCGGGAUGCUCUUGACGUAUGUUCAACUAGGUAGACAAUUAUAGUUUGUUAAAUGCUAAUUUUUUACUAUCUAACAAUAAUAAAAGGAAGAUAUACUCAACAGAGAAGCAUGCCACGUCUUCUUAAAAAAUUAUCCAAUCAGAAUAGUCUUUUUUGACACGUCAUAUAUGACAGAAAUAUAGUGGGUUUUGUUUUUAUGAAAAUUAUCAGUCUGGCCCAUCAGAGCCCAUCUAGAAAACGGAACAUGUAUUAUUUUACGUUUCUGAGUUUUUCUCUGACUCUUCCACUUCAUCUUCACCGAUGUUAGAAUUUUUUUUUGUUUUGCGUAACCUUCUCAAUCAAUGGUGAUCUUAAAACCAUUCUGAAUUUUUGGUUCCACCUCCCCCCUUGAUCCUUCUCCUAUAUAAAACUAUGUAUAAACCUAAAUCCACCCAAAAUCAAAACCUACUCUGAAAUCUUUUGUCUAAACCUAACUGCACGAUCUCUACAUCUACUCCGCCACCGUCAAAUCGAAACUGCAAUUCCCCCGGUAAAAGCUCAGUCGCCGUCGAACCUCCUUCACCGCCGAACCAUCAUCAUCCAGGUUCUUACCACAUGACGUCUCACACCGUUAUCAAUACGUCGAGAAUAUCCGGUAAAGUUUCCGUUGACGGAGAGAUCGUCAAGAAGAUUCGUCGAUCAGUUUUAAUCAAACUGAUAUAAAUGAUUAUGCUAAUUUUUUUACCGUAAUCAAAAGAUUUAUGUGUUAUGUUAGAACCACAAGAGUUUUCUUUAAUAGCUAUGGAUCUUUUGCUAACAGAUGAUAUACAUACAUAAACUCAGAUUUCAAGUGAGGAUGUUUUUCUUCUGAAGAAGCUAUGCUUUUGUGUGAGGCACAACGAGUGUAUGAGAAUAGAUGGACUGAGAUACAAAGGUGGAUUCAGGCAGAAAGGAUAAGGUUGUGAACAACAUGUUUGCGAGACUUUGUAUGAAGAGAGCCAAGCAUGAAACUAUGGCUAGCGAGGACAAAUCAAACAAGAACAGAAUGUUGUUCUUAGAUGGAAGUAGUACUCCCGCGAAUAUAAAACUCCUAUUGCCAAUAGAACAAGGAGCCAGCUCCAUCUGCCCUAGAUUACACAUUCUGUCUCCACGGUGAGUUAUUUAUGACCAUCACAAGGUGGAAACUUUCCUCACUUCCUCAUGGGUUACUGGAGGACAAUCUAAAAAUAUUAGACUGGACAAGCAAAAGUUAACAAUCUUCUUUGACAACCCCAACAUCGGGAAAUCGAAGGAAAAAAGCCUUUUUCUGGGUCAUUUUCAUGCAAAAGGAACCGUCCGUCAGAAAAUAGAAAUCGAGUCUAAGCAGCGCUAGAGUACAACCUAUCAAUAACAGCACGAAGAAUAUUGCUUUAGCCCGCAAGAUGGUUGUUUUAAACACAUGAGGCAAAUGUAAGUUGAAUCAAAAGCCUUUGUAAGCAAUUUAUUAAACGUGAAUUAGUUUUGUCGAAUGUUGAAUCAUCUUUUGCUAAUGUUUGCAAGACGUGGUCUUUAUUUCUGGAUUUGGUCAUAAAAGUCAUGCUGUGGGAGAUAUUUAUGGAGUUAGGUACAAGGUUUCCAGGGUUUCUGUUGUUUCAAUCUCAGCUCUCUACAAGGAAAAGGAGCAGCCAACGUCUUAAAGAAAGCUUCAAAUUUUGAAUUUGAUCUUAAUAUCAUAAGCACUUUUAGGUUGUUUGAAAAACAAAUCUACUUUAUGAUUUGAGAAGUAGGUGUGUUUAACCUUUUUUUUUAAUGAGGUUUUGAGCAUGUUUUCGGCUGCACAAGAAAUAUCAACGUCACAAGUGAACAAGAAGAAUAAGACACCAAAUGACCUGUCAUGAUGUGUUUCUAAACAAGGUGAGAUUAGAUAGUUGUUAUUAUUUAUGGUUACGAAGUUGGUUCAGAUGAAUAUCUUUCUUGACCAUUUCAUCAAGUUGUAAAAAAAAAGAUAAUAGUUCCCUAUUUCCAAAUAAUAAACUAAUUAUAUU